UGAGAUCAACAUCUGUCAUUUCAUUGAUUGCCAGUGUUGAUUCAGCUGAGGUGGUAUUCUAGGGAGGUGUCCCCUUCCUUCCUCACUGCUCCAUGUGUGUUCCCUGGGAAGCUGCAUGCUGGCUUGAACAGGAUGAUCUUCCCUGAUAUAGGAUGACUAUUCUUUUUUUUAA
rnacentral:snRNA from 1 species